AAAAACUGGAAUGGAAAGUCAAACAGCCCCUGGACGGUUGUCUCACCUGUGAAGCUGUCAAAUUUCUAUGGACCUCAGACGGCUCAACCUACCGUGAGUGCGCCGUAAAUUAUGUGUACGAAUCCUGGGCGAUUGAUUGGCUAAAGGGAAGGCGGAAGUCAGCGCGUGAUUGGCGGAGGUGAAAGUCAGUCAGAUGAAGUUCCACGCGCUGGGGGAGGCAGGGUAGGUAGUUCCUGAAGGUUCCUCCUCCUGGCGUGUGAGAGAGGCUGGUAACGCCGGGCUGCUGGAUGUAAACUGCAGAGAGGGAGAGUGAGUCACUGCAAGAAAACUCACAAAAACACAAUUAUUUACAUCCAUCAGAUAAAGUCUUUAUACGAAUUUGUUCUGCAUUAAAAAUGACAGGGAUUUUUGAUGCAUUUUAGAUGCAUUUUAAUUCAUUUAGGAGAAAAAGGUGCUGGAUGCUGGUGAUUUAUGAUUUUAAAAAAUAAAUCAGGAGAAGGCAUAUCUAAAAAAAAUGUAAAUUUGUUUAAUUUAUAAAUAAAUUACAGUUGUCUAAUAUAAAGAUCAAUACCAUCCAAUGCAAUCUGAUUUAAUAAAGAUAUAUCAAGAUGAAAUAAAUUAAGACAAAAUGUGAAACAAUUUGGUUUUAGACAUAUACAAUAUAUGCAUGAAUGAAUGAAUGAUUUAUUUCAGUAUAAUAUGACAGAAAGGAUGUCGGUAGCAGCAGAGCAUAAGCAAGGCAUAAGCUAACUAAGCGCCUGCUUAGGGCCCCGCGGCCAGUAGGGCCCCCCAGAAGCAAUGGGAAAAAAAAAAUAUAUAUAUAUAUAUAUAUAUAUAUAUAUAUAUAUAUAUAUAUAUAUAUAUACACACACACACACAUAUAUACACAUAUAUACACAUCAUACAGAAAGCAUCACUCAUACAUGCUAAAUGUAUGAGUGAUGCUUUCUAUAUGAUCAAAUAUAUAUUAUUGAAAAAAUGAAAUAAAAUUAUGUAAAAACAUUUUAGUGUCAAAGCUCCACUACUGUUAUGUGCCUUCUGCCGUGUAAUGUGCACUGAGCAUCCAAAGCACAGGUAGUUGUGGGGCAAAAAAAUGGUGCAAAAAAGGGCAUAUCCUUCAGGAGGAGAGAAAAGAAAGAGGAAGAAGAGAAAAAAUGCAAGAUAAAGGUAUUUUUGCAUGUCAUGGAAUGUUAAUCAAAGAGAUUUGUGAAUGAUCAACAAUCAAUAUUAUUGGCAAAAAUAGAGGGCCCCAAAAUCAAAUUUUGCUUAGGUCCCCAUCGAGGCUUGAGUCGGCUCUAGGCAGUAACAAUGCUUAUAAAGAUGCUUUACACUUUAUAUUAAUAAUCAUACAUCAUUUUCUCUACAAUAUUGAGAAAUAACAUUAUUCUUGUUAAGUCUCUUAAAGCUCACCAGAGUACUACAUUUUCUCAAUUCUAGAGCAACAAUAAUAUCAAACAAUAAAAAAAUGUAAGCUUAAAGAAAGCCUCAGGGUUUAAAAAAAUUGGUGAUUGUUUUAAAUCUUCAUGAUGUAGUUUAUCCUUUAUAUUUGAUGCACACUUUGGUUAGUUGUAUGUCAGUAAAGUCCACUUUUUCUACCUAAAUAAUCCCCCUACAGACACAGGAGUACACACAGAUAGAUAUCAGCCUGGCCUGGCUGGUAGCAGAGGACAGGAUCUCUCAGGAUGGACCAGAUCAGAGCAGUAAGUCAGGCUGUCAUAUGUGAGGCGGGUUCCAGAGACCACCGUCUGUCAUCUGUUGUGUUAGCUCCUCUCCGGCCCAAACCCAUCUGCUCCUGGAGCCGCUGACAUUAUAAAAGAGUGGAAAAUCUCUGCCAUCCAAGCUGUAGUCUGAUCCAGAUCCAGAUUUUAUUUUCAUGGAAUACAUCCAGUUUACAUGUCAGCAGUUCAGGCUUUGCAGAUGACGAGAAAAACGUCGGUAUUAGUACUUUAAAUAACAUCCACAGUCGACUGAUAGUUAAGAUAGACGGUAUGUAAUCUUUGUUAUUUAAAAAGUCAGAUGAAAAAAGUGAUUAAGAAACCCUCUGACAGUUAUAUUGACGUCAAAUUAUUACAUUCAACUGUUCCACUAUUUUAGGAAAUUAAUACAAAAUAAUUCUCUCUAUUUGUAGCUCAGAUUUUUUUAACUACACUGUCGGUAUUAAUGUAAACAUGAUGAUUGUUCGCCAGGACAAGUAAAUCCAGUGCCUUCAUUUACCCUUCACCCAAAGCAGAGGUAUGAUUAAAAUGAAGUUGCACCUGUUUCUCCUCUGCACUGCUCAAACUAAACCACUAGAUGUCACUCUUGUUAUGUCAUUUGCGGUUUAUCAGGACAUAAAAAUUUGUUCAGAGAAAAGAAGUCUGGGAUUGAUGAUAAUUACAGUGAUGGCUUUACACUUUCAACAUUAAUACCCCUGCAAUAAAACUGAUGAAGAUGAUAGAAAAAUAACAGAUCAGCUAAAGUUAGACUUGAACCUACACCUGCAGCUGCAAGCUUUAUCGAGCAAAGUGUGCUCUGUACCUGCUGAGCGACCGGCCUGCUCCAUGUUUGGGUGAGGUGCUGCAGAUUGGGAAUGAAGGCACUGGCAGUUUUUGUAAUCCUAUCCUCAGAUAUUUGCCCAUAAUUAUUGAAGACUGUUUAAUAUUUCCUCUGUGGAGUUAUCACUCUGCAGGUGAUGAUAAAUACACUUAGAAAACAAACAGCAUGGCUCAGGGGUUACUGUUGCUGACCUGCAGUCUUGAGGUUGUUGAAUCAGAUCGGAUGGCUGGGUUGUCCUUGUGUGGAGAGGUGAUUCUGGUUCUGCUCAAGGUUUCUGCUUGUGAAAGGAAGUCUUUUUCUUCUUCUGGACUGAGAUGAGACAGAGUCCUGAUUGUUUCUUUUUGUGAAGUAUCUUAAUAUGUUUAUUUAAAAUUGGCUCUCUGUAAAUAAAGAUUGAUUGAUUGAUAGUCAGUAGAGUGAAGUUUAAACUCGUCUGGCUAUUUCUCAUUCUGCAUUUCCAAGCAGAAGUGGGAAGACUGACUCUUAUCGCUAUGGUUACAACACAAGUGAGUUUAUGCCGCUGGCUGUACCUACAAGUCAUCAGUAGGAUGUCUUCUAAUCUAUUGUUGGCUUGAGAGAUCUGUUUUCAUAUCCUAUUAUAAUCACAGCAACAUGAUUACAGCGAGCAGCUCAAUUAUCUGGAGAAGAAAAAAAAAACACUAAAUUACUCCCAACUUAAAGUGAGCCCUGAGGACAGGAAUUACACUAACAGCAACAGUUGUUUAUAUGAGCUCUUAUGUCAAUACCAACUAAUCCUCUGAAGACUUUUACAGACUAUUUGGCUAUUUAAAGGGAUUAUAUCAUCACAUCUGUCUAAUGAUAAAAAUCAUCAUUUGUUUUUAAGAGUAAUGGAUGCUUUUAAAGCUUUAAGAUGGGGCUAAAUACUUUCACUUCGUCUGGCUCUCUAAUCCAGACUUGAUUCUACGUGAAACAUCGUCCACUUUAUUUCACUAAAGCCUAAAAGUAUGUCAUCCUUAAUGUUUUUUUACAACUUUGAUCUCAUGUUUUAGCUGAAAUUGAAUGUUUGAAGCCUUUUCAGAGUCUGUAAUGGUUUUAAAAAAAAGUGUAAUUGCUUAAUUGCUUACAGCUGUGAGAACUUCUUUUGAUUAGAAAACCACUCAUGAAAAUGUUUGGAUAGCUCCUUUUUCCUGCAGUAUCAAACAGAAAAAAUGUGUCUUAUUUUGCGAUCAGCAUCCAGAAAUAAACUCUUUGGUUGUACGGUCAGCGAUUGAUACAUGUUGUUUGAUUCUUCAGAUGCCUUAACAUUUAUAAUUUUGUUUUUAUUUUUAUUUUUUUGCUCUUUUCUCUAUAAUUUACUUAUUUCUAACCCUGACCCUGUUUACUCCCUGAUUACCAGCAUUUCUAAUCCGAUCAAAGUGUCCUAUAAUCUACCUGUCAGGGUCAUUUGUCUUGAGCUUUAUUGUGAUGCACUCAUGUGAAUGUGGUGGUUUACAGUCCUGUACUCUGUUUAGUCUACAUCCUCCGAGCAGGUUUGUGGGGUUGGAUUAAAAAAGCACCUCACUGCGAGUCUUCUUUUCCUGCAGGAUUCCUGUGGCUUGUAGCUUUGGCAGAAUGUGUUGCAGCAGCUCCCUCUGUUUAUUUUACUCUAUUUAAUAAAGCCUCCAUCCAGCAUGUCUCUUCACACCAGAGCGUGCUCGCUCAGAGCAGCAGGAAUUCCUUCCUGGUCGCUGGCUGAACUCGAAAGGAUUCAGCAUGGAGAGAUGUUCAGAUGUUCAAAGCGUGUGCCCAAAAGUGAUCUGAACUUUGAACGGCAUUAAUGAGCCAACAGUUUUCUGGGUGGGAUGUUUCUGCUCAUGCAGUGUUGGUUUGCUGGAUUUUUUCUGCACAUUGGUUUUGGUAUUUUACUUUUGAAUCACUUGAAAUUCUCAAGCUUUAGCAGAAAGGCUGAAAUCCAGUGAAUAUCAUUCAAUUUAAGCGCCCUUGGACUGCUGAAAUGCAAAUCAUUCAGCAGAUAAUGUGCAUAAUAUUUUUGAGUCUUUAUAUUUUGGUCCUUGUGCACCAAAUUUUCAUACACCACAUAUCAUUUUUGAUAAUAUUCUGCAAGCUGUUGUAUCAAAUGUAAAUUCUCCCUCUGAAAGCUGACUCCCUCUCCUCGUCUGCUCGUUCUGUUUCUGUAGAUGAAAUGCUUGGUGGCCAUCUUUCAUCUUUGCAGACAGGAUCCAAAGAAAACAACUUUGAGCUCGUGUUAUUCCACCCAUUUAACUUCUGCUUCAAUAACAAACAAAAGGCGCU